AGGACGAACGCUGGCGGCGUGCUUAACACAUGCAAGUCGAGCGGAAAGGCCCUUCGGGGUACUCGAGCGGCGAACGGGUGAGUAACACGUGAGCAACCUGCCCUUAGCUCCGGGAUAGCUCCGGGAAACCGGAAUUAAUACCGGAUACGACCUAGGCCGACAUCGGCCAUGGUGGAAAGUUUUCGGCUAGGGAUGGACUCGCGGCCUAUCAGCUAGUUGGUGGGGUAACGGCCCACCAAGGCAACGACGGGUAG
rnacentral:rRNA from 1 species